CAUCAUGUUAUUAUUUUUGCUUUUAUCCACCAUUUGGCUUAUCCACCUGUGCUAAUCUAGAGUGUCUUUCCGUUAUAGAGAACAAGCUUGUGAACUUCAGGCGUUGUAUAUCUCUCCAAACCGCAGGAUGUAGAUUCAGAACACUUUGAGACAUCACCUCUUUAUGCCAAAGGGAAUUGAUGAUGAUGUGACAACAUGAAGCUAACAAGGUCUAGCAGAUAAUUAUAAUGCAGUGACGAGUGAAAAUGAGAGAGCACUACCAGAGAAAUGCUACAUAGCUUUUUAAGUGGCAUUAUGUUAGUUUAGUUUGAGCGCAAGUGUAAAAGUAUGUCUUUCUCACAUCCUUAAAAACGUUAAAAAAAAGAGCCCUUCACUGAUGCUUCUUGUGUGUAUGAGUGUCUCCUCCGGUUUUACUUACGAUUGUAGACUUAGCAUAUUCACUACUAUAGAACAAUCAAUUUUAUCUUUAUCAGUGUGAGAUGGACAAGAGACGAUUACAUCACUGACAUCA